rnacentral:lncRNA from 1 species
AGAGAAAGGAGAAGUAGGGAAAGCAAAAAGGCAGAGACCACAAAGCAUCUCCCCCAUGAAAGGAGCAAGUGAGACAAGAGGAAGUUAAAGAGCCUGGGAGUGAGCGGAGGCAGGGGUAGAUGUCAAGGGGAGGAGAACCAGAAGGCAAAACGGCUCUACUGUUUGUGAGGAAGGAGAGGGUUUCAGGAAGGAACGACCGGUCAACACUGUACAUUUUCAAAGGUCAGAGAAUUUAAGAGCUGAAAGUUGUGCAGUACGUUCUGAGAACUAAGAGGAAUUUGGAGACCUUCUACCGUGGAGAGGUGCAGGCGGAAGCAAGGAUUUGGUUUUCUCCUGUAUUUCUUCAACCAGAAUCCCCCCCAGAAGCUGGAGUGGAAGGUGCCCAGCAUGGUAACAACCAGGUACAGGCAUUCCCUCCCCUUCCUUUUGUCCUAAGCAAAAAUCAAAAAGGAUUUAAUAAGAGCAUAUAAUGUAUUUACUAAUCUUGAAAUAAAUAUGGACAUGGCAACUGAAAUUUACAUAGGUACCUACCCAGAACCAGUAACUGUAUUCAAC